CCUACGGGAGGCAGCAGUGGGGAAUAUUGGACAAUGGGCGAAAGCCUGAUCCAGCCAUGCCGCGUGUGUGAAGAAGGUCUUCGGAUUGUAAAGCACUUUAAGUUGGGAGGAAGGGCAGUUACCUAAUACGUGAUUGUUUUGACGUUACCGACAGAAUAAGCACCGGCUAACUCUGUGCCAGCAGCCGCGGUAAUACAGAGGGUGCAAGCGUUAAUCGGAAUUACUGGGCGUAAAGCGCGCGUAGGUGGUUAGUUAAGUUGGAGGUAAAAUCCCCGGGCUCAACCUGGGAACUGCAUUCAAAACUGACUGACUAGAGUAUGGUAGAGGGUGGUGGAAUUUCCGGUGUAGCGGGAAAAUGCGUAGAUAUAGGAAGGAACACCAGUGGCGAAGGCGACCACCUGGACUGAUACUGACACUGAGGUGCGAAAGCGGGGGGAGCAAACAGGAUUAGAUCCCCCGGUAGU
rnacentral:rRNA from 1 species